GGACCGCUAGCUCAUCGGGUAGAGCAGGGGCCUUUUAAGCCCAAGGUGCCGAGAUCGAGACUCGGGCGGUCCA
rnacentral:tRNA from 1 species